rnacentral:rRNA from 1 species
AAGUCCAGGGGUAAGGGCUAAAUCUUGUAAUCCUUGGGGGACCACCAGUGGCGAAGGCGUCUAACUAGAACGGAUCCGACGGUAAGGGACGAAACCCUGGGGCGCAAACGGGAUUAGAUACCCCGGUAGUCCAGGGCUUAAACGCUGCAGAUUUGGUGUCGGGGGUCCUACGAGGGCACCCGGUGCCGGAGAGAAGUUGUUAAAUCUGCCGCUUGGGGAGUACGGUCGCAAGACUGAAACUUAAAGGAAU